UCAGCUUUGGAGUCGAAUGCAAUUUGAAAAAGAAGGAUUUAAAUAUUGAAUUACAUCAUUCGGUUACUGAUUGUGAAGUAAACAAUAGCAUAUUAAUAGAUUUUAAAAAUGAAUAUAUUUGGUGUUGUGGAAUGUUACAAAAAAAUGGCCACUGUUUGUAUACAAGAGACUUUUAUGCAGAAAUACAACAUCGCCUAUUAAAAAGUGUUAAUGGAACUAGAAGUGGGACUAUACAUACCUGUAGCUGUCUUGGUCUCGUUGGUGGUCUUGAAGUUCAUGUUCUACCUACUAUUUGGAUAGUAUUAGAGCUACUUCUAAUUUUACCAGUCAAAAGCAUUUAAGGACUGAGAGCUAGUUACUUUUAUAAGUUGAUUUAUUAAAAACUCGAGGUAGGAAUGGAGGUUUUCGUAUUCAUACAGUUAGUAUGCAUAGGUAAUAUGAUACUUUUCUAGUUAUUGUGCUUCGCUUAUACAAUGUAACACACAAACUUUUUCGACUGUUUAUCACAAAGAAGUAUCUCAUCAUUGUUAUUAUGAAGUCUGUAUAAAUAAGAAGAUGGUAUGAAGUAAUUACUGUGAAAAUAAAAGACGUGGCUUUGUUUUUAUUGGUUGGAUUGCAAAACUAUUUGCAGAUUUAAAGUCCAUGUCAUUUUUGGAAUGAAGUUGCCUUAUUAUAAGAUCAUGGAUCAAGAGGAUAAGAGAAAAGAAUCUCUCAAAAAUAAGCAAGCACAGUGUUUUACUUCCAGUGGGUAUAUUUCAUUUAACUGACGUCCAUUUUUGAAUCUACUUGUAGAUUUGAUUCUACAUAUUUUACGCAUGGAAUGAUGAAUUUAAUUAAUCUUAAAAUACUUACUUAUAUAUGUUUAAGCAAAUUUAUGAAAGUUGUCUAUGUAACUAAGUACAAAGUUGUGUGUUAGAUGCCACUUUUUGUUUUAAUUGAGGUGUAAUUCAAAAUCUGAUUGUUAAUUUCAAUUCUACGAGUUAUUUUAAAUGUAUAUGUAAAUGUAUGCUAUUAUAGAAAUACUUUUUGUGCAUGUUGAAAUAAAUUUAGGAAACUGAAGUGUGUAACAGAGCAUAAAGUUGUACGUCAGAUAUCUGUAUUUUUUUUAAUUGAAGUCUAAUUGUAAAUCUGAUUGCAAAUUUAAAUUCUACGGGUCUUUUUACGUUGAUCUGUAUAUGUAUGUUGUUAUAAAAUUACAUUUUGUAUAUAAUGAAAUAAAUUUAGGAAACUGAAGUGUGUAAGAGAUCAUUAAGUUGUACGUCAGGUGUCUGUAUUUUUUUUAAUUGAAGUCUAAUUGUAAAUCUGUUUGCAAAUUUUAAUUCUACAGGUCUUUUUACGUUGAUCUGUAUAUGUAUGUUGUUAUAAAAUUACAUUUUGUAUAUAAUGAAAUAAAUUUAGGAAACUGAAGUGUGUAAGAGAUCAUUAAGUUGUACGUCAGGUGUCUGUAUUUUUUUUAAUUGAAGUCUAAUUGUAAAUCUGUUUGCAAAUUUUAAUUCUACAGGUCUUUUUACGUUGAUCUGUAUAUGUAUGUUGUUAUAAAAUUACAUUUUGUAUAUAAUGAAAUAAAUUUAGGAAACUGAAGUGUGUAAGAGAUCAUUAAGUUGUACGUCAGGUGUCUGUAUUUUUUUUAAUUGAAGUCUAAUUGUAAAUCUGUUUGCAAAUUUUAAUUCUACAGGUCUUUUUACGUUGAUCUGUAUAUGUAUGUUGUUAUAAAAUUACAUUUUGUAUAUAAUGAAAUAAAUUUAGGAAACUGAAGUGUGUAAGAGAUCAUUAAGUUGUACGUCAGGUGUCUGUAUUUUUUUUAAUUGAAGUCUAAUUGUAAAUCUGUUUGCAAAUUUUAAUUCUACAGGUCUUUUUACGUUGAUCUGUAUAUGUAUGUUGUUAUAAAAUUACAUUUUGUAUAUAAUGAAAUAAAUUUAGGAAACUGAAGUGUGUAAGAGAUCAUUAAGUUGUACGUCAGGUGUCUGUAUUUUUUUUAAUUGAAGUCUAAUUGUAAAUCUGUUUGCAAAUUUUAAUUCUACAGGUCUUUUUACGUUGAUCUGUAUAUGUAUGUUGUUAUAAAAUUACAUUUUGUAUAUAAUGAAAUAAAUUUAGGAAACUGAAGUGUGUAAGAGAUCAUUAAGUUGUACGUCAGGUGUCUGUAUUUUUUUUAAUUGAAGUCUAAUUGUAAAUCUGUUUGCAAAUUUUAAUUCUACAGGUCUUUUUACGUUGAUCUGUAUAUGUAUGUUGUUAUAAAAUUACAUUUUGUAUAUAAUGAAAUAAAUUUAGGAAACUGAAGUGUGUAAGAGAUCAUUAAGUUGUACGUCAGGUGUCUGUAUUUUUUUUAAUUGAAGUCUAAUUGUAAAUCUGUUUGCAAAUUUUAAUUCUACAGGUCUUUUUACGUUGAUCUGUAUAUGUAUGUUGUUAUAAAAUUACAUUUUGUAUAUAAUGAAAUAAAUUUAGGAAACUGAAGUGUGUAAGAGAUCAUUAAGUUGUACGUCAGGUGUCUGUAUUUUUUUUAAUUGAAGUCUAAUUGUAAAUCUGUUUGCAAAUUUUAAUUCUACAGGUCUUUUUACGUUGAUCUGUAUAUGUAUGUUGUUAUAAAAUUACAUUUUGUAUAUAAUGAAAUAAAUUUAGGAAACUGAAGUGUGUAAGAGAUCAUUAAGUUGUACGUCAGGUGUCUGUAUUUUUUUUAAUUGAAGUCUAAUUGUAAAUCUGUUUGCAAAUUUUAAUUCUACAGGUCUUUUUACGUUGAUCUGUAUAUGUAUGUUGUUAUAAAAUUACAUUUUGUAUAUAAUGAAAUAAAUUUAGGAAACUGAAGUGUGUAAGAGAUCAUUAAGUUGUACGUCAGGUGUCUGUAUUUUUUUUAAUUGAAGUCUAAUUGUAAAUCUGUUUGCAAAUUUUAAUUCUACAGGUCUUUUUACGUUGAUCUGUAUAUGUAUGUUGUUAUAAAAUUACAUUUUGUAUAUAAUGAAAUAAAUUUAGGAAACUGAAGUGUGUAAGAGAUCAUUAAGUUGUACGUCAGGUGUCUGUAUUUUUUUUAAUUGAAGUCUAAUUGUAAAUCUGUUUGCAAAUUUUAAUUCUACAGGUCUUUUUACGUUGAUCUGUAUAUGUAUGUUGUUAUAAAAUUACAUUUUGUAUAUAAUGAAAUAAAUUUAGGAAACUGAAGUGUGUAAGAGAUCAUUAAGUUGUACGUCAGGUGUCUGUAUUUUUUUUAAUUGAAGUCUAAUUGUAAAUCUGUUUGCAAAUUUUAAUUCUACAGGUCUUUUUACGUUGAUCUGUAUAUGUAUGUUGUUAUAAAAUUACAUUUUGUAUAUAAUGAAAUAAAUUUAGGAAACUGAAGUGUGUAAGAGAUCAUUAAGUUGUACGUCAGGUGUCUGUAUUUUUUUUAAUUGAAGUCUAAUUGUAAAUCUGUUUGCAAAUUUUAAUUCUACAGGUCUUUUUACGUUGAUCUGUAUAUGUAUGUUGUUAUAAAAUUACAUUUUGUAUAUAAUGAAAUAAAUUUAGGAAACUGAAGUGUGUAAGAGAUCAUUAAGUUGUACGUCAGGUGUCUGUAUUUUUUUUAAUUGAAGUCUAAUUGUAAAUCUGUUUGCAAAUUUUAAUUCUACAGGUCUUUUUACGUUGAUCUGUAUAUGUAUGUUGUUAUAAAAUUACAUUUUGUAUAUAAUGAAAUAAAUUUAGGAAACUGAAGUGUGUAAGAGAUCAUUAAGUUGUACGUCAGGUGUCUGUAUUUUUUUUAAUUGAAGUCUAAUUGUAAAUCUGUUUGCAAAUUUUAAUUCUACAGGUCUUUUUACGUUGAUCUGUAUAUGUAUGUUGUUAUAAAAUUACAUUUUGUAUAUAAUGAAAUAAAUUUAGGAAACUGAAGUGUGUAAGAGAUCAUUAAGUUGUACGUCAGGUGUCUGUAUUUUUUUUAAUUGAAGUCUAAUUGUAAAUCUGUUUGCAAAUUUUAAUUCUACAGGUCUUUUUACGUUGAUCUGUAUAUGUAUGUUGUUAUAAAAUUACAUUUUGUAUAUAAUGAAAUAAAUUUAGGAAACUGAAGUGUGUAAGAGAUCAUUAAGUUGUACGUCAGGUGUCUGUAUUUUUUUUAAUUGAAGUCUAAUUGUAAAUCUGUUUGCAAAUUUUAAUUCUACAGGUCUUUUUACGUUGAUCUGUAUAUGUAUGUUGUUAUAAAAUUACAUUUUGUAUAUAAUGAAAUAAAUUUAGGAAACUGAAGUGUGUAAGAGAUCAUUAAGUUGUACGUCAGGUGUCUGUAUUUUUUUUAAUUGAAGUCUAAUUGUAAAUCUGUUUGCAAAUUUUAAUUCUACAGGUCUUUUUACGUUGAUCUGUAUAUGUAUGUUGUUAUAAAAUUACAUUUUGUAUAUAAUGAAAUAAAUUUAGGAAACUGAAGUGUGUAAGAGAUCAUUAAGUUGUACGUCAGGUGUCUGUAUUUUUUUUAAUUGAAGUCUAAUUGUAAAUCUGUUUGCAAAUUUUAAUUCUACAGGUCUUUUUACGUUGAUCUGUAUAUGUAUGUUGUUAUAAAAUUACAUUUUGUAUAUAAUGAAAUAAAUUUAGGAAACUGAAGUGUGUAAGAGAUCAUUAAGUUGUACGUCAGGUGUCUGUAUUUUUUUUAAUUGAAGUCUAAUUGUAAAUCUGUUUGCAAAUUUUAAUUCUACAGGUCUUUUUACGUUGAUCUGUAUAUGUAUGUUGUUAUAAAAUUACAUUUUGUAUAUAAUGAAAUAAAUUUAGGAAACUGAAGUGUGUAAGAGAUCAUUAAGUUGUACGUCAGGUGUCUGUAUUUUUUUUAAUUGAAGUCUAAUUGUAAAUCUGUUUGCAAAUUUUAAUUCUACAGGUCUUUUUACGUUGAUCUGUAUAUGUAUGUUGUUAUAAAAUUACAUUUUGUAUAUAAUGAAAUAAAUUUAGGAAACUGAAGUGUGUAAGAGAUCAUUAAGUUGUACGUCAGGUGUCUGUAUUUUUUUUAAUUGAAGUCUAAUUGUAAAUCUGUUUGCAAAUUUUAAUUCUACAGGUCUUUUUACGUUGAU
rnacentral:lncRNA from 1 species